GACGUAGGUGGCGACCGUUAUCCGGAAUUAUUGGGCGUAAAGGGUGCGUAGGCGGCAUGAUAAGUUAUUGGCGGGAAAUCGAGGCUCAACCUCGUGGAAACUAAUAAUACUGUUUUGCUUGAGUACAGGAGAGGUUAACGGAACUCCAUGUGGAGCGGUAAAAUGUGUAGAUAUAUGGAAGAACAUCAAUAACGGCGAAGGCAGUUAACUAUUCUGCUACUGACAUUGAGGCAUGAAAGCGUGGGGAGCAAAACGG
rnacentral:rRNA from 1 species